CUAAGCGGGAAGCCUGUUCCAAGAUGAGGUUUCUCACCCCCUCGAGGGGGUAAGGCCCCCCACAGACCAUGGGGUUGAUAGGCCAGAACUGGAAGCGCGGUAACGUGUGGAGGUGACUGGUACUAAUUGGCCGAGGACUUACCAAC
rnacentral:rRNA from 1 species